rnacentral:rRNA from 1 species
UACGUAGGGGGCUAGCGUUGUCCGGAAUCAUUGGGCGUAAAGCGCGUGUAGGCGGCCCGGUAAGUCCGCUGUGAAAGUCGGGGGCUCAACCCUCGGAUGCCGGUGGAUACUGUCGGGCUCGAGUACGGAAGAGGCGAGUGGAAUUCCUGGUGUAGCGGUGAAAUGCGUAGAUAUCGAGAGGAACACCUGCGGCGAAGGCGGGUUGCUGGGCUGAUACUGACGCUGAUGCGCGAAAGCCAGGGGAGCGAACGGG